UACGAAGGGUGCUAGCGUUGUUCGGAAUCACUGGGCGUAAAGCGCGCGCAGGCGGCUUUUCAAGUCAGAGGUGAAAUCCCAAGGCUUAACCUUGGAAUUGCCUUUGAAACUGUAGAGCUAGAGUUCAGGAGGGGAUAGGGGAAUUGCUAAUGUAGAGGUGAAAUUCGUAGAUAUUAGCAGGAACACCAGUGGCGAAGGCGCCUAUCUGGACUGACACUGACGCUGAGGCGCGAAAGCGUGGGGAGCAAACAGGAUUAGAUACCCUGGUAGUCCACGCCGUAAACGAUGAGUGCUAGCUGUUGGAACCUUUGGUUUCAGUGGCGACGCUAACGCAUUAAGCACUCCGCCUGGGGAGUACGGUCGCAAGAUUAAA
rnacentral:rRNA from 1 species